rnacentral:rRNA from 1 species
AAUUUGACCGUGCAAAGGUAGCAUAAUCAAUAGUCUUUUAAUUGGAGGCUUGAAUGAAGGGUUUGACGGAGGAAAAGCUGUCUUGUUUAUUAAUAUUGAAUUUAACGUUUGUGUGAAAAGGCAUUAAUGGUUUGGAGGGACGAUAAGACCCUAUAAAACUUUACAUGUUUAUAUUGUUUAAUAUAAUUGUUGGAUAAUUGUUGAAUUGUAAAUUGUGUUUUGCUGGGGCGGCGUAAAUAUAAUUCUAACUGUUUAUAAUAUAAAAUAUUUAUUAGUAGAUAAUGGUCCUUGAUUUAAGAGGUAAGAGUAAGUUACUUUAGGGAUAACAGCAUAAUUUUUUUUGAGAGUUCUUAUCGAAGAUGGAAGUUGUGACCUCGAUGUUGAAUUAAAUUUUUUUUUAAAUGUA